UAGUUUCCAACGAGUUUUCCAGUUUUCCCUGGACCAGCCACAUUUUCGGCCUUCUUCGACAACCAUUAGGCUUCCAAAUAGGUAUAAUCUUGUUCUACACUUUCCUAUGUUCAUCUUGAUAAAUUAUGGAUUGAAUUUGGUUAAGAAACGAUUGAGUUACGAAGCUUUGAAAAUUACUCAAACUUCAGGCCAAGAGCUCCGGGACACUUAACGGAUUUUUUUAUUGGAAUGACCAAAAUAAUGAAUGGUGGACAAUCUCAAGGACCAGUUCUAUUGAUUUUCAAUCUCAGGAACCAAAGUGAUGUGUUAUGCAAAUCUCAAGAACCAUUUUGGCUAAAAAGCCUUUAUAUAAUGAUAGUGGUGAAUUUUGAAGUUGAGCCCAUCACGAAAUUUGUAAAGUUUUUCAUUACGAGCAUUUAUAUAUUUUUUUCACACUUAUACAUUAAUUAAUAUUUUUGUGAUACUUGAAAGACAAAUGUAUCUUCAUAAGUAAUAUGUAUAUGACAAUGUGAUAUGUAUAUACUAAUUUAGUAUUAUGUUUUUCAUUUGAUUAUUUAUUGGUUUAAUACAUAUUUUCUUUAAUGGCUAAGGGGUCAGGUUAGGUUACGCGUUAAUAUUAAUGGGCCGAGUUCGGAUCGGGUCAUAAUACUCAUUUAUUUUAACGGGUUUUACAUGAUACGACUUAUUAAGAUAUCGGGUAUGACACGAAAAGAACACGAACAUAAAAAACACGACAUGAAUGUUAGGUCUAUAGAGAGCCAGGGAAAGGAGAGAUAAACAUGAUAAAGAGAGAGAAGGGGAGAGACACAUGAUAGAAAAUAGGAAGAGAAGAAAGUAGAUAAGGAUGAGAGACAGGAGGAGAUAAGGAAUAAAGUGAAGAGAGAAGGGUAUAAUAACUAUUUUCUAUACUAGCGUAAACCCAUGUCACUACUACAAAAGUACCCAAUAGUGUCACUUUAAAAAAACUACAAGAAAAGCCCAUUUCUAUCGAAUAUUAACAAAAAAUCCGACAGAAAUUCAUGUAAUGUCGGAUAAAAGAACCGAC
rnacentral:lncRNA from 1 species